rnacentral:rRNA from 2 species
ACGUAGGGGGCUAGCGUUAUCCGGAAUUACUGGGCGUAAAGGGUGCGUAGGUGGUUUCUUAAGUCAGAGGUGAAAGGCUACGGCUCAACCGUAGUAAGCCUUUGAAACUGGGAAACUUGAGUGCAGGAGAGGAGAGUGGAAUUCCUAGUGUAGCGGUGAAAUGCGUAGAUAUUAGGAGGAACACCAGUUGCGAAGGCGGCUCUCUGGACUGUAACUGACACUGAGGCACGAAAGCGUGGGGAGCAAACAG